UCUUUUUAGACUAAACGCAAGGAGAUGCAAUGCAUAAUGGCAUACUUCUUUAAAUUCUACCACCUCAGAAAGAAUUUGAACCCAGAACCUAGAGGGACUUAACUCAAUACCGAAGCUAGUUUAGUCCUGAGUGCCAACUCCUCAGACCAGGACGGUUGCAUUUUUUUGUUUUGCUACUUUAAAAUAACUGACAAGGAAAUGAAAACUAGAGUAUAAAAUAAUGUUGCCAUUAAAAAAUGUAUAUUUCAUUGCUCUUAAAUGCAAUGACAUUAAGAAAAGAAAAUGUAUCACUAAGACAAACAUUCAACACAUUGAGAUUCUUAAUGAUCCCAAUAACACUCUAAUGACUAAAUGAAGUAUAAGCAAAAAUUUAAUAAUAUGAUUUCUUUGGCAAUCCUGCAAUGCCUUGAAACCAAACAAAAUACUAGGCCACGUUAAUGUACCACCAAAAAGAUAACGUGGUAAGCGAGCAGGAUCGAAGAUGUGCACAGGCAGCACAACCUCAUUAACAUAAUCUAGUCAGAGUAGAGUAAGUCACAUGACUAGUACAACCAACAAGCCGGAGCCCCGUUCAUAUAGUUAUACGACCUUGAUGGCGAGAGGCAGACAAUUACACAGCACUAAGCAACAAACCAAAAAUUCCUUGUAUGGAAGGCCAUCUCUAACUUGUAAAAAAAAUUAAUGAUACUAACUAGUAUAUAGCUGAUGCUUUUUGGUCGGUCUCUCCAUCAAUUGAACACGUACUGCUACGAUAUUAAUAAUAAAACGAACGAUUACUACAGAAGAAAAAUGUCGAGCGAGACACGUCUCCCACAUAUAGGCGGCGGCGGCGGGAGGUAAUCUGGCAGCCAACAAUGGCGGAAUGACACAGAAAAGGCAAAAAAGAAUUGGUCUCGUUACAUUUUACAACAGUUUUAGGGGCUCCACUAAAUACAACAUUAAAGCUUUCUGGUAAACUGACAUCUGACUCUUCAAAGAAGACUUCAAAUGUCACUGGUAGUGACGUCUCUUGAAAAUGGACAAAAUUUGACAUCAUGAAGUUAUCAAGUACCAGCAGAAAAAAGGUUUAACCUCCAAGGACAUUCAUACUGACAUGGUUGCUACAUAACAGGAUGAUAUUCCAGCUUUAUUAACAGUGCAAAAGUGUGCAGAUGAAUAUUUGGAGGGAAACAGAGUCUUGAAGUUGACCUAGGUUCUGAAUGUCCAACAACUGCCACCAGAGGAAAACACUGAUUGUAUUCAUCACAUGUUGAUAGAUGAUAGGUAAUUGAUUGUAAUUCAAACAGUCAAUGUUACCAGCAUAUCUCAUGAGAGUUGAGAAUAUUCUGCACAAUGAACUUGGCAUGAUGAAGGUUUCUGCUUGGUGGGUGCUACACCUUCUGACACCUGAUUAAAAAUGCCCCAGACUGGUAACAUCAUGGCAAAAUCUGACAUUGUUUAAAGCAAAUCCAGCUGGUUUCCAUGAACAUUUUCUAACUCAGGAUGAGUGUUGACUUCAUCGCUUUGAGCCAAAGACAAAGGGCUAAUUGAUGUAAUGCGUGUGCAUGUUUGUCUAUGUGAAUGGUCACAAAACUAUGCACCAGUUGGAGCCCGACCAGUAUUGGGCUCCAACUGGUGAUAUUUGUUGAUAUUUCCUAACAAUAAAUUAUCUACUAGCUCUGUGUUUUUGAUUUCCUAUGGGAUAAAUAAUCCUUACCUUACAAAAUAGCUAAUGGUUGGCAACAGAUGUUAAAUGAAUAAACAAUAUAUAAUACUGGUAAAGGAAAUAUAAGCAAGAACUUUUAAGAAAGGUUUGUCUUCAAAUAUUUGCUAUUUAUACACUAAAAUGGCUUUAAUCAAUUUCAUUCAUUUGUAAUGAGAACUUGUUAUGUCAAUAUUUUAUUACUCUGAUUUAAAGUUUGCGGUGAAUUGUUCUGCAAUGAAACAGCUGUACCAUUAGCAGAAUAUAUUUCACAAGGGGAACCUGCAACCAAAUUCCAAAGCUUUCUUAGUUUAUGGGCUAGGCCCUCCUAGGGAGAAAAGAAUGGAAAAUAUUAAAUAUAUAUAUAUAUAUAUAUAUAUAUUAAUUUUAAAGUUGCGUUAAGGCAGUGAACUGGCAGAAUUGUUAGCACACCUCACAGCAUUUUGUCUGUCUUUACAUUCUGAGUUCAAAUACCAAUGAGGUUGACUUUGCCUUUCCUCCUUUUGAGGUUGAUAAAAUAAGUAUCAGUUGAGCACUAGGGUCAAUAAAAUAAUUAUCAGUUGAACACUGGAUUGAUGUAAUUGACUUAUCCCCUCCCCAGAAUUGCUAGCCUUCUGCCAUUUGAAACCAAUUUUAGAGUUGAGUUGCUAUUAAAAUUUUGUUAGUAUUGUUAGUUUUUUUUUGUUUUUUCUUUUGCUCCAUAAUUUCGAGAAACCUGAAUCAACAAUAAUUUGAAAUAAGGCUCUACAUCCAUCGGAGAGAAAUUCCAUAGUGUACCUAGUACAAACAAUGGAUACGUAAGCAGGGCAGUGCUAUCAUAGGCAGGUUAACAGUGCAAGUAGGCUUUGCUUGUGGCCAAUGUGCAGGAGCAAUAAACAUUGAGAAGGAGAUGGAAAACAGGUUGUUUUUUUUUUCAAAUGCUCAGGAAGAUCCCUAGGGGUAGUAGAUAACUUUUGUUAGCAAUUUAACAAUAAUUUGAAAUUUUAAUAGCAUCAAUAUUAUUGGUUUAAAAUUAUGACACAAAGCCAACAGUUUCAAGGAAGGGGCUAAGUUGAUUACAUUGACCCCAGUGCUCAACUGGUACUUAUUUUAUCAACCCCAAAAGAAUGAAAGGCAAAAUAUUUUUGACAGAAUAAUCUGAAUGCUAAAGGGAACAACACUAGACAAGAAACUACAUCAGAUGUACAUUCCCAACCCCUAUUUACAAACUUGCAAUAAAAUCCAUUUCACUGAAAUUUAUGGGCUGUUUGUAACAUUCAUAGAUAUCACAACUUUAUCAUUUGCUUUUGGUCUUCUUGCUUGUGGUUUAUCAGUAAGAGAACUAAUUCUAAAGGAAUACAUCACUUUAAAGUGAGACUGAUGAUUUCAAAAUGAGUACAUUUCACUUUUCAAAACUUCUUCCACUGAAUUGACAAAGUAUCAUCUUGCAGUCAUCAAUCUCACUUUAAAGUGACAAUAUUUCGCUUUGAAGAAAAAUUUGCUCAUUUAUAAGUGGUAGUCUUCUUAAAUUUUUCCAUCCAAUUUUGAAUUGAAUUUCCUUUUCAAAUUGGGAGUCCAAUUUUCAUACAACAACCCAUAAAAUAUAACAAUUUUCAUUAAGUGGUGCAAUUAGUAUUGUAAAGGAUUUUAUUAUUUGGAAAAGACCCCCUAAAACUAUUGAAUGAAGAUUUCACUCAACUUUUAGAAGCUAUUAGAAAUCAUAGUGAAUACCUCACAAAGGUAUAUUUGUAGCACACACUGAUAUGAUGUAUAUCCAGAUUUAGUUUGAUUUUUGUCACCAAUUAAGUCUACUUUCAGAACAACUAGAGUCAGUAUCAAAUUACCUCACUAUUUUCUAGUUCAGUCACUAAUAUGCCUACUGUAUAAAGACCAUCAGCAGCUUGCAUGACAACAGAAAGCAGCAAGUUUCUUAUAUCAAUCACUUUUCAGAACAAUCAACUGGUAUGCUAUUUCUUUCACUUAUACAAACUGGUAUCGAAUGAGCCUAUAUCAACUUUUAAGUAUCAACAAAUACCAAAAUUGAUUUCUGAAAUCUGGCAUAUAGAACAGUGACCAGGUCAACAGUUAUACUACUCUAACAGGGAGUGCCAUCAGCUCACAUUUAGAACACUUGUGAACUUCAAAUCAUUACCAAGUUCAUCACCUUUUGUAACUAGUUUUAUCACUGCAGAACUCAACAACAGACAAUUUCACUUCCCAACUUAGUUACUCAGUGGGAAUGCAUAGUAGCAACCAGGAUUGUAAAACCAUGUACAAGUGUACUUUGAAUACACAGAACAUUUUACAGACUCACUUGCACAAAAAAAAAAAAAACAUCCUGUAGAUUUACUUGGAGCUCAUGCACACAUCUUUUACAGAUGCAUACAUAUAUGGCAUGUUCUGUUAGUUACUUUGCCAACUUACUAAGUACAUGUUUAUACAUAUAUAUACAUAUAUAUAUAUACACACACACACAGUAGUACCUCGGUUUUUGAACAACUCUGAUCACGAAUAAAUCACACUUUAUGUCCUGUCUUUCUCAUAUUCAUUUAAUACAGCAGUACCUCAGUUUACAAACGCCUCUGAUCACAAAUAAAUCGUGCUUUAUACAUAUAUAUAUAUAUAUAUAUAUAUAUAUAUAUAUAUAUAUAAAGCAUGAUUUAUUCAUGUUUGAAAACCAAGGUACUACUGUAUAUAUAUGUAUAUAAGCCAUUCCACAACCUUUGUAGAAGACUGUUUUCACCUCUGUGUCUGUAACAUUCAUCCAAUUAUUUUUGCUGUCAAAGAUGAAGCCUCACAUCAUAUGUACAAUUUAUUCUGGUUGAUCAUAGCUUGUAGCUAAGCUAAUUUAUGAACCAGUAGAGAAUGUUAAUAAAAUCAUUUUAACUGUUA